CCGGCACGGGUGAGUAACACGUAUCCAACCUGCCGUCUACUCUUGGACAGCCUUCUGAAAGGAAGAUUAAUACAAGAUGGCAUCAUGAGUCCGCAUGUUCACAUGAUUAAAGGUGUUCCGGUAGACGAUGGGGAUGCGUUCCAUUAGAUAGUAGGCGGGGUAACGGCCCACCUAGUCUACGAUGGAUAGGGGUUCUGAGAGGAAGGUCCCCCACAUUGGAACUGAGACACGGUCCAA
rnacentral:rRNA from 1 species